rnacentral:rRNA from 1 species
AGUGAACGCUGGCGGUAGGCCUAACACAUGCAAGUCGAACGGCAGCACAGUAAGAGCUUGCUCUUACGGGUGGCGAGUGGCGGACGGGUGAGGAAUACAUCGGAAUCUACUUUUUCGUGGGGGAUAAUGUAGGGAAACUUACGCUAGUACCGCAUACGACCUACGGGUGAAAGCAGGGGAUCUUCGGACCUUGCGCGAUUGAAUGAGCCGAUGUCGGAUUAGCUAGUUGGCGGGGUAAAGGCCCACCAAGGCGACGAUCCGUAGCUGGUCUGAGAGGAUGAUCAGCCACACUGGAACUGAGACACGGUCCAGACUCCUACGGGAGGCAGCAGUGGGGAAUAUUGGACAAUGGGCGCAAGCCUGAUCCAGCCAUACCGCGUGGGUGAAGAAGGCCUUCGGGUUGUAAAGCCCUUUUGUUGGGAAAGAAAAGCAGCAGGUUAAUACCCCGCUGUUCUGACGGUACCCAAAGAAUAAGCACCGGCUAACUUCGUG